GAGGGUAUAGCUCAGUGGUAGAGCACAUGCUUCACAUGCAUGAGGUCCUGGGUUCAAUCCCUGGUAUCUCCA
rnacentral:tRNA from 1 species